rfam:Otolemur garnettii contig164757, whole genome shotgun sequence.
GUAUAUCCUUUGGCAGCCCAUGUACUAAAAUUGGAAUGAUAUAGAGAACAUUAGCAUGGCCCCUGUGCAAGGAUGACAUGCAAAUUCAUGAGGCAUUCCAUAUUUUU